GCCAGGCGUGGUGGUGGGCGCCUGUAGUCCUAGCUACUUGGGAGGCUGAGGCAGGAGAAUGGCGUGAAUCCAGGAGGCGGAGCUUGCGGUGAGCUGAGCUUGCGCCACUGCACUCCAGCCUGGGUGACAGAGUGAGACUCUGUCUCAAAAAAANNNNNNNNNNUUUUUUUUUUUUUUUUGUUAGACAGAGUCUCACUCUGUCACCCAGGCUGGAGUGCAGUGGCGCAAGCUCAGCUCACCGCAAGCUCCGCCUCCUGGAUUCACGCCAUUCUCCUGCCUCAG
rnacentral:SRP_RNA from 1 species